rnacentral:rRNA from 1 species
GAGUUUGAUCGUGGCUCAGAACGAACGCUGGCGGCAUGCCUAACACAUGCAAGUCGAACGAGACCUUCGGGUCUAGUGGCGCACGGGUGCGUAACGCGUGGGAAUCUGCCCUUGGGUUCGGAAUAACGUUUGGAAACGAACGCUAAUACCGGAUGAUGUCUUCGGACCAAAGAUUUAUCGCCCAGGGAUGAGCCCGCGUAGGAUUAGCUAGUUGGUGGGGUAAAGGCUCACCAAGGCGACGAUCCUUAGCUGGUCUGAGAGGAUGAUCAGCCACACUGGGACUGAGACACGGCCCAGACUCCUACGGGAGGCAGCAGUGGGGAAUAUUGGACAAUGGGCGAAAGCCUGAUCCAGCAAUGCCGCGUGAGUGAUGAAGGCCUUAGGGUUGUAAAGCUCUUUUACCCGGGAUGAUAAUGACAGUACCGGGAGAAUAAGCCCCGGCUAACUCCGUGCCAGCCGCCGCCGUAAC